CCACCGUAGAAAUGGCUUCGGGUCUGCACUUUGAACACCUCUAAGAUAGAGUUGCCUAAAAGCUACAAUUCUUUGCUGCUGACCUGAUCAGGCGCAAAACAAGUUGGUUAAAUCAACGGCGGAACCUUGAAGUUCUGCGUCCCGACGAACGUUGAGAUCUCGUACUUUGUUUGGCGGUCCUUGAAUGCUCCGUACUUGCUGUGAGACGUGCUAGCCGUGACUCCGAUCCAACUGUUCUAUUGAUCGUCAUUGACAUUCAUUAGUGAAAACGGGAACAAAUGAACAUUUACACACAGGACCUGCGGAAACUACCAGUGACUGCUGAGACUUGGAGAAGGGGUCGGAUUAAAUAAACUCUGCUUCUUCCUACUCCUUUUGGACAUGUUGAAUUCCGCAAGUGCCAGUGUGAUGUUCCUGAAGCUAACUUGUUUGAAAUAAA